AUACUUACCUGGCAGGGGAGAUACCGUGAUCAAGUAGGCGGUUCACCCAGGGCGAGGCUCAGCCAUUGCAUAAUUUCUGGUAGUGGGGGACUGCGUUCGUGCUCUCCCCUG
ensembl:snRNA U1 U1 spliceosomal RNA